UGAGUGGCGAACGGGUGAGUAACACGUGAGUAACCUGCCUCUUCUUUGGGAUAACGCCCGGAAACGGGUGCUAAUACUGGAUAUCCACUGGCCUUCGCAUGGGGGUUGGUGGAAAGGUUUGUUCUGGUGGGGGAUGGGCUCGCGGCCUAUCAGCUUGUUGGUGGGGUGAUGGCCUACCAAGGCUUUGACGGGUAGCCGGCCUGAGAGGGUGACCGGUCACAUUGGGACUGAGAUACGGCCCAG
rnacentral:rRNA from 1 species